rnacentral:sRNA from 1 species
ACGAUAUGUUUUGUGAUAGUUAGUAUGUAAUACUUGUUUUGUUUUCCAUGCCUAAUUCGGCCAAACAAAGAUUAACUAAGUCAAACAAGCUGCUAAUAUGGUAAAACGGUCCAUUAGAACAUCGGCCCAUUAAGACAACGGCUCGACCCAAAUAAAGAUGGUUCAACUCAACAUAACAGUGGCUUAGUCUAGUAAUAUUUUAGCUCGGUCCAUUUUAGUUUGGCCCAACCUGAUAGAUUCGAAAAGAUAAAAAGGAGAAAUCGCAAGAGAGACAAAGAGAAGCGUAUAUCAGCUCUUUGCCUAUAAUUAGCAGAAGACACUAUACAGAAAAGGAUUCGGACCACAAGUCAUUACUUAGGUCAGCUCGUCGCAUAAAUUUAUUUUGGACGAAAUAUCUUUGAUUUUUUUUUUUUGUCAAUUUGGAUAGUACCAUCACAAACAUCAUCCUUUACAUAU